rnacentral:lncRNA from 1 species
AUUGCUUCAAGCAAUGAGCCAGCUGCUGUUACUCAGUAACAGGUUUGGGGCAGUCAUAGCCGCUGUGUGUUUAGUGGUCAACAUAAACUCUUCAGCAAAGGUAUUUUCAAAGGAGGUGAUUUUGAGAAUGAUAGUUACUGUUGUCUGAGCCAAGAGCUGCUUCCAGAGGAGCACACUGAAACAUUGAAAGAGUGCCUCAUUGUCACCUGGGCAGUUGAAACUCUCAAGUAGCAUCUGCUGGGGAUUGCUGUGCUUAUUCUGCCUAUACUGCCUUGAUAAAAAUUAUGGCAGUGCUUUAUUUAUAACCUGUCUCUGCUUCUGGACUACCCAAGCAAUUGUUGCCUUUUCUCAGGAAAUCAUAAGACUUACAGCUGGUGAAGUGCCUUGUUUCUUGGAGAGGUGAAUAGUGAUGAAAAAGAUGGAGUUUUACAAUAGUACUUAAGCACCUACAAAAGCAGCUGCCUUAUCAUUGUUUCCUUAACAAUCAUUAAGGUACCAGGGAUCAACUAGAAUAAAUCCAAGCUGAAAGAUAUAAGUAGCCCCUUA